rnacentral:rRNA from 1 species
CAGUUAAAGAUGAGCAUGCGUGACAUUAGCUAGUUGGUGAGGUAACGGCUCACCAAGGCCACGAUGUCUAGGGGAUCUGAGAGGAUUAACCCCCACACUGGUACUGAGACAGGGACCAGACUCCUACGGGAGGCAGCAGUAAGGAAUAUUGGACAAUGGUGGCAACACUGAUCCAGCCAUGCCGCGUGAAGGAUGAAGGCCCUAUGGGUUGUAAACUUCUUUUGUACGGGAAAAAACCUUCUUACGUGUAAGAAGC